rnacentral:lncRNA from 1 species
AAUAGGAGAGACCUAGUUUAGAAAAACAUAACGUACGUACGACUGCUUUUGGAGAAAAGGGAGAAAAAGUCAAGAGAAGAGGGAGAGACCUAGAGGGGCUGCGAUUUCUGCAAAUUAAGGUAAGGGUGAGACUAACUUUGCAAUUCUAUUAAGUAUGUGAAUCAAUGGUUAGGUUUAACAUGAUGAAAGAUGAGUUUAAGAGGAAUCGGAAACUAGGUCAAAUUGAUAGAAUUGAUGAUUAAACAGUGGAAACUUGUUAAAACGAUGUAGAAACUGUCCUUAGACCUUAGAUAAUGAUUAUGAUGAAUUUUGGAAUUGAAAUUAGGCUUAGAACUAUGUUAAUUGAUGAAAAUUGUGAAAAACUGCACUUCUGCCC